rfam:Populus trichocarpa isolate Nisqually-1 chromosome 5, whole genome shotgun sequence.
UCUAGAACUCGAGAUAUAUGUUGAAUAAUGAAUAGUGUCUGGGCUACAGGACAAAUUUCGACUUCUCUGUUGCUACAAUUUGAACUUGAAAACGGUCCUUUUGAAUCUUGGACUCUUCAUGAAAGUUUUAGGCUUAUGUCUUGACUUUCUAUU